UCGGAUAUUGAUGUAGAUUUGCCACCAACUGGAACAUGUUUUAAAUCCUUGAUGAAUGUAUCGCUGUCACCAUUCGGAUCUUUUAUGCCGUAAGACAAUGGAAACUUCUUCUUCCAACAUAACCGAUCUCUUCCGAGCGCACCACUGCUCCACAAAAAACAGUUCCUUGAGACUGCAGCCAUCUUUACAUCUUUCUUCAUCAUAGUUUAAGUACCUCUUGUGUAGGUAUUUACAUCCGCGUUUGAGGUUGCGGUUUGGUUAUUCUCUGGUCCACAUGUUUGCAUCUUAAAAUCCGGUUUACAUUCACAUCUUGGCCUUUGUUUGUUUUUUUUUUUUUUUUUCUUUUGUCAUCUCAAUAUUACAUACAAGUACCCUGAUUCGUUGAAAACCAAUAAAUAACCAGGAUUCUGAGGAUCUUUGAUGUUACUUGAGUAGUACGAAAAGUAAACAUCUGUUUCUGCAAGUGUCUCGCUGUUGAGUGUAAGCAGCUGCAGAUCUCCGUCAUCGCCUAAACAUAGCCUGAAUCUUCCUUUUCUCUGUUCUGCGAGAUAAAAAUAUAUUAGGAAAAAAAAAAAAAAAUUCUUUUGUCGCUAAAACUAUUAGGAAAAUUCUUUUAUUACGUUUGCGUUUUCAUAUUUUCAUUAGAUAUAUCUGUAAUAUUAAACACAAACAUUAAUCAGUCACACCAGUUAAACAAUAAUUGAGGUCACAAUGGAGGUCUGUGAGAUCUUACUAGUAUAUCUUGCGAUGGUAUGCAAUAAUGACUUACCUGAGUAGGUAACAAAGUGUCGGUGGGAUUAGCUAGUGUUUGUGCUUGCAAAAGAAGAAUAAGAUGGAUUAUUAAACAAGAAAGAAUGAAACCAUAUGGAGAGAAUGAAACCAUCCUUUGGUUGGAUCUUGCGGAACCCGAAAGCAAAGUCACCGGAAAGGGAACCCCAUGAACUGGAGAGUUGUUGGGACACGGAAGCGGGUGAGAGAUCCUCCGACAGGAACAGAGCCGUUUAUGAUAUUCUGAGACAAUCCAACAAGUGUUUUUAGUUGCAGGACAAGAACAAGUUGUAGUAUCAAACAAGAGAUAAACCGCAUUUUGCUUGACCAAACAUCUACG
rnacentral:lncRNA from 1 species